UGCGUAGGCGGGUCUUUAAGUCAGGGGUGAAAUCCUGGAGCUCAACUCCAGAACUGCCUUUGAUACUGAAGAUCUUGAGUUCGGGAGAGGUGAGUGGAACUGCGAGUGUAGAGGUGAAAUUCGUAGAUAUUCGCAAGAACACCAGUGGCGAAGGCGGCUCACUGGCCCGAUACUGACGCUGAGGCACGAAAGCGUGGGGAGCAAACG
rnacentral:rRNA from 1 species